UCGCUGUGAUGAAGUUUUUUCCUCCCAUUCGUAGUUUCCACCAGAGGUUGAAAGACCAAAGAUGGCCCAACACCUUCCUUGGAUGUCUGAGCGA
rnacentral:snoRNA from 1 species